GGGUGACAGGGAGACAGGUGGUGCAUGGUUGUCGUCAGCUCGUGUCGUGAGAUGUUGGGUUAAGUCCCGCAACGAGCGCAACCCCUACGUUUAGUUUGCUAACGCGUGAAGGCGAGCACUCUAGACGAACUGCCGUUGACAAAACGGAGGAAGUGGGAUGACGUCAAAUCAUCAUGCCCCUUAUGUUCUGGGCUACACACGUGCUACAAUGGCCGGUACAGACGGACGCAAAGCCGCGAGGUGGAGCAAAUCCUUAAAGCUGGUCUCAGUUCGGAUUGCAGGCUGCAACUCGCCUGCAUGAAGUCGGAGUUGCUAGUAACCGCGCGUCAGCCAUAGUGCGGUGAAUACGUUCCCGGGCCUU
rnacentral:rRNA from 1 species